AGAAGAAGAAUAGAAUAGAGGGGAAAGUGCGGAAAACCUAGUGGAGUUGGGUGAGAAUGGGAAUAGCAGGUAGGGUUGGAGAUUAUGCUUUCAAGGCAUUCACCGCCACACUCGGAAUCGCCACCAUUUACCUCACCGCCACCUUCUCCGUCAACGUUUACAGAGGCCUCUCUUGGCACAAUGCUCAAACCAAACUUGAGAAACAAGAAUCUGAAGAGCAAGCACCGUGAUUCGAUCUCACAAGUCCACCUUAAAUUUCAAAUCGUGUUGUGUAGAAAUAUAAUGACUCGAAUUUGAGACCGUGUUUAAGGGAUCUGAAUUCAAUUCUAUUUGGAUGAACAUGUUAGUAUCAAGUUUUCAGAUUGAAUGAUGAUGGCAAAUGGCUUUUUUUAUAUAAAUUUUUUUCAAACAUAUUUAAUGUACGUCAGUUAUUAUUGAAAGAAAAUCUAUAUAUUAUUUAUAUGGAUAAUUUGAUAGUAAGGAUACAUGGAACUUUAGUAAGCUGAAGUUGUACGAAAAAUGCUAGCAAUAUUCUCUUUUUAAACACACUUUUUACUAUCAA